GUGAAAUUCCGUCGGAAUCUGGGAGGACCAUCUCCUAAGGCUAAAUACUCUCUAGUGACCGAUAGUGAACCAGUACCGUGAGGGAAAGGUGAAAAGCACCCCGGAAGGGGAGUGAAAUAGAACCUGAAACCGUGUGCUUACAAGUAGUCAGAGCCCGUUAAUGGGUGAUGGCGUGCCUUUUGUAGAAUGAACCGGCGAGUUACGAUUUGAUGCAAGGUUAAGCAGUAAAUGUGGAGCCGUAGCGAAAGCGAGUCUGAAUAGGGCGUUUAGUAUUUGGUCGUAGACCCGAAACCAGGUGAUCUACCCUUGGUCAGGUUGAAGUUCAGGUAACACUGAAUGGAGGACCGAACCGACUUACGUUGAAAAGUGAGCGGAUGAACUGAGGGUAGCGGAGAAAUUCCAAUCGAACCUGGAGAUAGCUGGUUCUCUCCGAAAUAGCUUUAGGGCUAGCCUCAAGUGAUGAUUAUUGGAGGUAGAGCACUGUUUGGACGAGGGGCCCCUCUCGGGUUACCGAAUUCAGACAAACUCCGAAUGCCAAUUAAUUUAACUUGGGAGUCAGAACAUGGGUGAUAAGGUCCGUGUUCGAAAGGGAAACAGCCCAGACCACCAGCUAAGGUCCCAAAAUAUAUGUUAAGUGGAAAAGGAUGUGGCGUUGCCCAGACAACUAGGAUGUUGGCUUAGAAGCAGCCAUCAUUUAAAGAGUGCGUAAUAGCUCACUAGUCGAGUGACACUGCGCCGAAAAUGUACCGGGGCUAAACAUAUUACCGAAGCUGUGGAUUGUCCUUUGGACAAUGGUAGGAGAGCGUUCU
rnacentral:rRNA from 2 species